GACCACUUUUGGGGGUUACCCUCCUAUAAAGGGGUGUUUCCCACGCUACCUCUGCCCUUUUGCUGUUGUACUACAUGGGAGAGCUUUUCCCGGCUGCCCCCCGCUGCAAACGCUGCCUGAUGUUGUCCAUUAUCCAGGCACCAAAUGGACCCUCGUGGCCACGCAGGCUUAGAGAAUAAUUUGGCCUUAGAAAUUGAGAACAGACAACAUGCAUCGAUCAAAUUCAAACCAAGGGACCAAAAAGAUGACCCCAUCCCAUGAUGUCCCCUUCUCCACUUGAUGGAAGCUGCUCAGUUGUCAUUAGAAGACCUCCGUACAUAACUAAAGUGAUGAUUUAAGGCAAUGGAGCUCAAUUGAAUUUUGUUUAAAGCAAAAUGGCAUACGAUUAAACAGCAACCUACCUCUCCAGAAACAAUGUCCCAGUUAGUCAAUCCUGGCAUAUUACUUCAUGGGAGAUAUUUACCUGGCUGAGAGUGUACUGAAUACAUACUGUGUAUAAGAGUUCUAUAAAUGAAUAUGUUUAUAAAUGGAAUUGAGAUCUCAUGGAUUGCCCUGAAGUCAAUGUUGGUUUUGUUGUGUUAGGUCUUUUAAAGGAUGUGCUCUACAAACUCUCUGACAUACAGCCUUAUCACAGUAAAUGAUGCAUUCUUUUUUCCUUUCUUUGCAUUGAAACAGUAAUGGAAGAAGGGCCUACAUCAGUGCCAUAUUCCACGUAACCAGACUUUGCUCUUCUUUAUUGUUGUACAGCCUGGGCUAAUAAUUCGUUGGACCCAGAUUAUAGUAAAACUGUUUGGGGAAAGUGUAAAUCCCUGGGAUUUUACAUUUGUUCAUCAACAACCCAUUCAGGCCUUUACAGACACACACAGCUCAUGGGAUUAAACAGAAAGGGAAGGGGGCAGGGACUCUGCUGGGAGCUGUCUCUUUCAGCUUUCGCUCCGAGGAUGAUGGUCAGCAGUGGUUAUGUAAUCCAAGUGGAUGGCUGAGCUGUUCCCCUCUGUGAUGCAUGAUGCUUUUGUCUGUGUCCCACUAACCGGGUUGCUUCUAGCACGCUAGCAGCACAUAUGCAAACAAUGUUGUACAGUAAGGCCAAUGUUUGUUAUAUUUAUGACAGUUUAGAGGCCGACUUCCUUUGAAUCACCAUACUUACUUACAUACUUGCUGCAGUUGUUGCAUUGAGGGAUAUCUCAGCAUUUAUUUCGAGGAGUACAGUGUUUUGAUGAUGGUUGUGAGUGAUGGUAAAAUCUAUGAAAAAUAAAAAAGUUAUAUAAACAAGAAAUAUUGAAUGCAGAAUCGCCAUCAACCAAAAUGAAGUAAAUUGGACACAGCACUAAAUCAGAUUCUCCAUCAAUAUCAGAUUUUAUUUAGCAUUUUAUUAAUUCCUGCAUAUCCAUGCAUACAGUAUAAUGACCUCACAGGGUUGCAGAGAGAGAGAUAGAGGGAGAAAGAGAAAGAGAGACCAAAAUAUAUGUUCCAUUUAAUGUAUUGCAGGGUAUAAUAAGACAGCAGCAACCCAAAUCGCUUGCACUCAAUUAGUGUUACGUUGUCAAA